rnacentral:lncRNA from 1 species
GACCAGAGCUAAGAUGGGUUUCAGUUUAGAAUUCUUGGUCGGCAUCUUUGGAGUUCUAAUUCUCUCUCAUGCCGCUUAAUCAACUGUUCAGUAACUUGUUGUAGCAGUGUAAGAGAAAGUUAUGCUUGACCCAUGUGAAGGAUUGCUGGCUUCAGCAGCAGCUAUGCAGUUUGUGAAUGGAGGGAGUGAAUGGAGAAAGUCAUGCUUGAUAAAUGUGAAGCAUUGCUGGCCUCAGUAGCAGCUGUGCAGGGGUGGAGAUCAUGUGCAGUGACCACGCUGGGUAGAGAUGGUAGUGAUUUGACAGCUACAACCAUUGGUAAAGCACGUUGGCAGGAACUUGACCAUUUUGUGGAAGAACUGGAGAAAAUUGUUGUUGUCAAUCUUCAGCACCGAUCAAUAUCUCAUUGGAAAUGUGUAGAAAUCAUCACUAAUAUUAGAGAAGGUGUUGUACUGUGUUUUGCCAAGUACUUAGAAAGCAUUCCCUAUU